rnacentral:rRNA from 1 species
AACAAACGCUGGCGGCAGGCUUAACACAUGCAAGUCGAGCGGGCCCUUCGGGGUCAGCGGCAGACGGGUGAGUAACGCGUGGGAAUCUACCCAUCCCUACGGAACAACUCCGGGAAACUGGAGCUAAUACCGUAUACGCCCUUUUGGGGAAAGAUUUAUCGGGGAUGGAUGAGCCCGCGUUGGAUUAGCUAGUUGGUGGGGUAAAGGCCUACCAAGGCGACGAUCCAUAGCUGGUCUGAGAGGAUGAUCAGCCACAUUGGGACUGAGACACGGCCCAAACUCCUACGGGAGGCAGCAGUGGGGAAUAUUGGACAAUGGGCGCAAGCCUGAUCCAGCCAUGCCGCGUGAGUGAUGAAGGCCUUAGGGUUGUAAAGCUCUUUCAACGGUGAAGAUAAUGACGGUAACCGUAGAAGAAGCCCCGGCUAACUUCGUGCCAGCAGCCGCCGUAA